UGGUGAAAAGAAGGACUUGGUCCUACAGUG
rnacentral:piRNA from 1 species